rnacentral:rRNA from 1 species
UCAGGACGAACGCUGGCGGCGUGCUUAACACAUGCAAGUCGAACGAUCUGGAGCUUGCUCCGGUGGAUUAGUGGCGAACGGGUGAGUAACACGUGAGAAUCUGCCCUUGACUCUGGGAUAACUGCGGGAAACUGUAGCUAAUACCGGAUACUUUCCUCGGGGGCAUCCAAUCAACGAAAUGUUCUGGCGCUCCAGGAUGGGCCCGCGUCCCAUUAGCUUGUUGGUAGGGUAACGGCCUACCAAGGCGACGAUGGGUAGCCGGCCUGAGAGGGUGAACGGCCACACUGGGACUGAGACACGGCCCAGACUCCUACGGGAGGCAGCAGUGCGCAAUGGGCGAAAGCCUGACGCAGCAACGCCGCGUGGAGGAUGAAGGUUUUCGGAUUGUAAACUCCUUUCAGCAGGGACGAAGGUUACCUUUGGUAAUUGACGGUACCUGAAGAAGAAGCCCCGGCUAACUACGUGCCAGCAGCCGCGGUAAUACGUAGGGGGCAAGCGUUGUCCGGAAUUAUUGGGCGUAAAGCGCGCGCAGGCGGCCCGUUAAGUCAGAUGUGAAAUCCCUCGGCUCAACCGAGGACCUGCAUUUGAAACUGACAGGCUAGAGUACAGGAGAGGGAAGCGGAAUUCCUAGUGUAGCGGUGAAAUGCGCAGAUAUUAGGAAGAACACCGGUGGCGAAGGCGGCUUCCUGGACUGUUACUGACGCUGAGGUGCGAAAGCUAGGGGAGCAAACAGGAUUAGAUACCCUGGUAGUCCUAGCCGUAAACGAUGGGCACUAGGUGUAGGGGGUAUCUGUCCUUCAGUGUCGCAGCUAACGCGUUAAGUUCUCCGCCUGGGGAGUACGCCGGCAACGGUAAAACUCAAAGGAAUUGACGGGGACCCGCACAAGCGGUGGAGCAUGUGGUUUAAUUCGAUGCAACGCGAAGAACCUUACCUGCCCUUGACAUUGACAGAAUCCUGUAGAGAUACGGGAGUGCUUCGGCCUGGAAAACAGGUGCUGCAUGGCUGUCGUCAGCUCGUGUCGUGAGAUGUUGGGUUAAGUCCCGCAACGAGCGCAACCCUUAUCCUUAGUUGCCAGAUUCGGUCGGGAACUCUAGAGAGACUGCCGGUGACAAACCGGAGGAAGGUGGGGACGAUGUCAAGUCAUCAUGGCCCUUACGGCCAGGGCUACACACGUGCUACAAGGGGGAGUACAAAGGGUUGCCAACCCGCGAGGGGGAGCAAAUCUCACAAAACUACUCGUAGUCCGGAUUGGAGUCUGCAACUCGACUCCAUGAAGUCGGAAUCGCUAGUAAUCGCGAAUCAGCAUGUCGCGGUGAAUACGUUCCCGGGCCUUGUACACACCGCCCGUCACACCAUGGGAGUGGGUUGUACCAGAAGUCGGUAGUCUAACCUUUGGGAGGACGCUUACCACGGUAUGGUUCAUGACUGGGGUG